GAACGCACCUUGCGCCCUUUGGCUAUUCUGAAGGGCAUGCCUGUUUGAGUAUCAUGAACACCUCAACUCUCAUGGUUUGCCAUGAUGAGCUUGGACUUUGGGGGUCUUGCUGGCCUAUGGUCGGCUCCUCUCAAAUGAAUCAGCUUGCCAGUGUUUGGUGGCGUCACAGGUGUGAUAACUAUCUACGCUUGUGGUUUUCCACCAUUAACCUUCAGCAAUGGAGGUUCGCUGGAGCUUACAGAUGUCUUUCCUUGGGGAGGACAGCUUCUUGAAUGUCUGAUCUCAAAUCAGGUAGGACUACCCGCUGAACUUA
rnacentral:misc_RNA from 1 species